GAGGGCAUAGUUCAGUGCUAGAGUGUGUGCUUAACAUUAACGAGGUCCUGGGUUCAAUCCCCAGUGCCCUUA
rnacentral:tRNA from 1 species